AUUGAACGCUGGCGGCAGGCCUAACACAUGCAAGUCGAGCGGAUGAAGGGAGCUUGCUCCUGGAUUCAGCGGCGGACGGGUGAGUAAUGCCUAGGAAUCUGCCUGGUAGUGGGGGAUAACGUCCGGAAACGGGCGCUAAUACCGCAUACGUCCUGAGGGAGAAAGUGGGGGAUCUUCGGACCUCACGCUAUCAUAUGAGCCUAGGUCGGAUUAGCUAGUUGGUGGGGUAAAGGCCUACCAAGGCGACGAUGCGUAACUGGUCUGAGAGGAUGAUCAGUCAAACUGGAACUGAGACACGGUCCAGACUCCUACGGGAGGCAGCAGUGGGGAAUAUUGGACAAUGGGCGAAAGCCUGAUCCAGCCAUGCCGCGUGUGUGAAGAAGGUCUUCGGAUUGUAAAGCACUUUAAGUUGGGAGGAAGGGCAGUAAGUUAAUACCUUGCUGUUUUGACGGUACCAACAGAAUAAGCACCGGCUAACUUCGUG
rnacentral:rRNA from 1 species